GCGCGGGUGGCGGAACUGGUAGACGCGUACGUUUGAGGGGCGUAUGCCUAACGGCGUAAGGGUUCGAGUCCCUUCCCGCGCA
rnacentral:tRNA from 2 species